AUUGAACGCUGGCGGCAGGCCUAACACAUGCAAGUCGAGCGGAUGAAGGGAGCUUGCUCCUGGAUUCAGCGGCGGACGGGUGAGUAAUGCCUAGGAAUCUGCCUGGUAGUGGGGGAUAACGUCCGGAAACGGGCGCUAAUACCGCAUACGUCCUGCGGGAGAAAGUGGGGGAUCUUCGGACCUCACGCUAUCAGAUGAGCCUAGGUCGGAUUAGCUAGUUGGUGGGGUAAAUGCCUACCAAGGCGACGAUCCGUAACUGGUCUGAGAGGAUGAUCAGUCACACGGGAACUGAGACACGGUCCAGACUCCUACGGUAGGCAGCAGUGGGGAAUAUUGGACAAUGGGCGAAAGCAUGAUCCAGCCAUGCCGCGUGUGUGAAGAAGGUCUUCGGAUUGUAAAGCACUUUAAGUUGGGAGGAAGGGCAGUAAGUUAAUACCUUGCUGUUUUGACGUUACCAACAGAAUAAGCACCGGCUAACUUCGUG
rnacentral:rRNA from 1 species